rnacentral:rRNA from 1 species
CGCGUAGGCGGUUUGGUCAGUCAGAUGUGAAAGCCCCGGGCUCAACCUGGGAACUGCAUUUGAUACUGCUGAACUAGAGUGUGGUAGAGGGAAGUGGAAUUCCGGGUGUAGCGGUGAAAUGCGUAGAGAUCCGGAGGAACAUCAGUGGCGAAGGCGGCUUCCUGGACCAACACUGACGCUGAGGUGCGAAAGCGUGGGUAGCAAACA